UCAAGCAAUUCACGUUCCUCAGCCUCCUGAGUAGCUGGGAUUUACAGGUGUGCACCAUCACGCCCAGCUAAUUUUUGUAUGUUUAGUAGAGACAGGGUUUCACCAUGUUGGCCAAACUGGUCUCAAACUCCUGACCUCAGGUCAUCCACCUGCUUUGGCCUCCCAGAGUGCUGGGAUUACAGACAUGAGCCACCAUGCCCGGCCUAUUUUUGCUUUUUGUGAUUGUGUAUCCCUUUAUAUAUUAUAUACUAUAAAUUCUGAUAGUUUCUAUUUUGUGAAUCAGUAGCCAUUUAUAGUAGAUGUAAAUUCCAUUAAAAGAAUGCAAGUAAAAAUAUUCAUAUGUAUCGAUAAUUCAAAUUAGGUAUUUUUCUCCCGUUAUCAUGCACGGAUAAGCUGACACACUUGUUUAUAUGUCUCUAUGACAUUUUCUAGAUAGUUUAGAUUUGGCAUGUGUUUUAAUCUCUCCAGUAGCCACUAAACUGCUCUGAGACAAGUAUCUGUAUCUUAUAAUUUUUUUGUUUCAAGGAAAAAAAAAGACAAGUGCAUUUGAGUUGGUAAUUCCAAGAAUGGCAGCAGAAGACAGAGCAUCUAAAGCAGGAGGCUUGGACCAAAGUGGUUCUGUUGCCUGUAAUCCCAGCACUUUGGGAGGCCAAGGCAGGAGGAACUCUUGAACCUGGAAGUUCAAGACCAGCCUGAGCAACAUGGCGAGACGACCCCAAAACCCAAUCGUCUCUACAAAAAAAUUCAAAAAUUAAAAUAAAUAAAUAAAGUCGUUUUGUUAACCAUUUCUGGGCCAUGAUAAUCGGAUGAAACUAAAUCCUGAACUAAUUUCCCGGGCGCUCUUGGGCUCUGGGCUAAGAACUCCUGAGAGUAUGGUCAGUGGUCUGCUGCUGCCUGGAAGCUCCCGGUAAAGGAAUGAAACUUCAGGGCAGACAGCAUUCACUUCAGGAAUGGUCAAGGAAAGCUAAAUUCGAUCUCACUAGACAGCAGCCCGUGUAAGGUUUGAUCCCCUUGGAAGGCCCUUUCCUCUGCUAGAGCUGAAAGCCCUGUCUCCCUCGUUUUCUUUUGCUACGGGAUCCAGAGAAAACACCAAAGGGCACUUACUGAGAAGCUGAAAAAAAA
rnacentral:lncRNA from 10 species